ACGWGACCUUCUGGGUCUAGUGGCGCACGGGUGCKUAACGCGUGGGAAUCUGCCCUUGSGUUCGGAAUAACAGUGAGAAAUUACUGCUAAUACCGGAUGAUGUCUUCGGACCAAAGAUUUAUCGCCCAGGGAUGAGCCCGCGUAGGAUUAGGUAGUUGGUGGGGUAAUGGCCUACCAAGCCGACGAUCCUUAGCUGGUCUGAGAGGAUGAUCAGCCACACUGGGACUGAGACACGGCCCAGACUCCUACGGGAGGCAGCAGUGGGGAAUAUUGGACAAUGGGCGAAAGCCUGAUCCAGCAAUGCCGCGUGAGUGAUGAAGGCCUUAGGGUUGUAAAGCUCUUUUACCCGGGAUGAUAAUGACRGUACCGGGAGAAUAAGCUCCGGCUAACUCCGUGCCAGCAGCCGCGRUAAUACGGAGGGAGCUAGCGUUGUUCGGAAUUACUGRGCGUAAAGCGCGCGUAGGCGGUUACUCAWGUCAGAGGUGAAAGCCCGGGGCUCAACCCCGGAACUGCCUUUGAAACUAGGUGACUAGAAUCUU
rnacentral:rRNA from 1 species